rnacentral:rRNA from 1 species
AUUUGAUCCUGGCUCAGGACGAACGCUGGCGGCGUGCCUAAUACAUGCAAGUCGAACGAGAAUUGCUUACACCGAGUGCUUGCACUCACCGUAAGGAAUUCGAGUGGCGGACGGGUGAGUAACACGUGGGUAACCUGCCUAUCAGAGGGGGAUAACACUUGGAAACAGGUGCUAAUACCGCAUAAUAUUGAAAAGCGCAUGCUUUUCAAUUAAAAGGCGCUUCUGGUGUCACUGAUAGAUGGACCCGCGGCGUAUUAGCUAGUUGGUGAGGUAACGGCCUACCAAGGCAAUGAUACGUAGCCGAGUUGAGAGACUGAUCGGCCACAAUGGGACUGAGACACGGCCCAUACUCCUACGGGAGGCAGCAGUAGGGAAUCUUCCACAAUGGGCGCAAGCCUGAUGGAGCAACGCCGCGUGCGUGAAGAAGGUCUUCGGAUCGUAAAGCGCUGUUGUUAGAGAAGAACACGGAUAAGAGUAACUGUUUAUGCGUUGACGGUAUCUAACCAGAAAGUCACGGCUAACUACGUGCCAGCAGCCGCGGUAAUACGUAGGUGGCAAGCGUUGUCCGGAUUUAUUGGGCGUAAAGGGAACGCAGGCUGUUUUUUAAGUCCGAUGUGAAAGCCUUCGGCUUAACCGAAGAAGUGCAUUGGAAACUGGGAGACUUGAGUGCAGAAGAGGAGAGUGGAACUCCAUGUGUAGCGGUGAAAUGCGUAGAUAUAUGGAAGAACACCAGUGGCGAAAGCGGCUCUCUGGUCUGUAACUGACGCUGAGGUUCGAAAGCAUGGGUAGCGAACAGGAUUAGAUACCCUGGUAGUC